rnacentral:rRNA from 1 species
GAUGAACGCUGGCGGCGUGCCUAACACAUGCAAGUCGAACGGAGUCCAGCCUUUAAGACCUUCGGGUCAAAGAGGGGAAGACUGAGUGGCGGACGGGUGAGUAACACGUGGGCAACCUGGCUCAUAGAGGGGGAUAACAGAGAGAAAUUUCUGCUAAUACCGCAUAAGCACACACUGCCGCAUGGCAGAGGGUGAAAAGAGAAUCGCUAUGAGAUGGACCCGCGUCUGAUUAGCCAGUUGGCAGGGUAAGAGCCUACCAAAGCGACGAUCAGUAGCCGAUCUGAGAGGAUAAACGGCCACAUUGGGACUGAGACACGGCCCAAACUCCUACGGGAGGCAGCAGUGGGGGAUAUUGCACAAUGGGGGGAACCCUGAUGCAGCGACGCCGCGUGAGUGAAGAAGUAUUUCGGUAUGUAAAGCUCUAUCAGCAGGGAAGAUAAUGACAGUACCUGAAUAAGAAGCCCCGGCUAACUACGU